rnacentral:misc_RNA from 1 species
CUCUCUCUCUCUCUCUCCUUUCCUUUUCCUUUUUUAAAUAUUCCUUGUGUUAUUUUUUUAUUAUGCGUUGUUUGUUGCACUUUUAGCUCUACUAUUUUUCUUUUGCCUGCUGACUUUCGCCAAAUAAAUUUAUCUUAGUAGUCAUUGUUGAUCUUUUACCUCUUAAGAUAAUUCAAGGCUAGUUGAUGCAUAAAUGGGAAGCAUUAAAUGUCCCAUUUAUGAAUGUUUUUAAUUUAUAUAAGCAUGCUGAUUAUAUAUUUAGCUAUAAUGUAUAUAAUUAGGUCCAAAAAUGGAUGUUUAUCAUUACCCUUUAUUAAGUACUUUAACCUUUUCCAAUGAAUUCCUUCUCUAAUUAAUUAUCAGUGAUUUUUUCUGUAAUUAAUUAUCUGUGAGUCUUUCAUUUAAUGACUCAUGAGAUGUUGCUUUACAGUUAAUAAAGAUAGCAAACCCCAACUAAUUGGGGUUAAGGUUUAGUUAUUGUUGCUGUUGUAAUAAAGCUGUUUCAUGAUCAUGGUCAUUAAUAAAGCUGUUUCUAUGAGAAUCUUUUAGAAAUACAAAGCUGUUUCAACUUACAGUUAAUAAAGACAAUUGUAUAAUUUUCAUUAUUACUGAUCAUGAGCUUGUGGGCUUUGACUUGGAAGUAAACAAUAUAUUCAUGAUCAUAUCCUUGGCCAAAAAGCCAAACCAUCAUGUGUUAAGAUAGUUGGGAUAUGUUCUUCCAUUUUUCCUAUUAAUAAGUCAUAAAAAACAUGUCAAAAGAAUUAUUAAUAACUCAUCAAAUUGGUAAGCUGCAAUUGGAGAGUCAUAUUCUGUCUUUAGAUGUGGAAUCUUGACUCUUGCUUAAUUCUCAUCAUCCCAUCAUGUUUGGAGAUCUUACGUGGAAAAAAAAAAAGCAAGAAUCUUUACGUAUUAAUUUGAUUAUAUAAUAUCCCCAACAUGUAGUUUUAGCAUUGACUUUCAUAAGAAAAUCAUAUUGGAAUCAACCCUCUUGUCCUAGAGAUUAUCCAAUGGAUUUUGAAUAGACAUUGUGGUUUUGGUAAUUGAUGGUUUAUUUUCCUUAAAUAGAAGUUCCUGUGUCAGUACUUCCAUUACAAUAUGGAAAUUUAAUUUACCACUCAGAUUCCUUGAUAAGUUUUCUUCAUUUUCUCAAUCAUUUGUGUAAGGAUAUAUUCCAGCAUACUCUUACAAUUAGCUGUAAACAGGAAGGAGAAGAACCAAAACCUGAAGAUAAUGCAACAAAAGCUGAACAAAUGGAAAAUUUGCCAUCCCUGCAAUGGAUGCCGAAGAAACAGACACUAGAGUUUGUCCUGGACAUAUUGCAGAGGAGAGACACACAAGAAAUUUUUGCACAGCCAGUUGAUCCCCAAGAGGUGCUUGGCUAUUACAAUAUCCUUAGAGAGCCAAUGGAUUUUGGCACAAUGAGGGCUAAACUUCAGGAAGGAAUGUAUACAAGUUUGGAACAAUUUG